GCAAUGCCGCGUGUAGUGAUGAAGGCCUUCGGGUUGUAAAGCACUUUUGUCCGGGAAGAAAUCCUUGGCUCUAAUACAGUCGGGGGAUGACGGUACCGGAAGAAUAAGCACCGGCUAACUACGUGCCAGCAGCCGCGGUAAUACGUAGGGUGCGAGCGUUAAUCGGAAUUACUGGGCGUAAAGCGUGCGCAGGCGGUUUGCUAAGACCGAUGUGAAAUCCCCGGGCUCAACCUGGGAACUGCAUUGGUGACUGGCAGGCUAGAGUAUGGCAGAGGGGGGUAGAAUUCCACGUGUAGCAGUGAAAUGGGUAGAGAUGUGGAGGAAUACCGAUGGCGAAGGCAGCCCCCUGGGCCAAUACUGACGCUCAUGCACGAAAGCGUGGGGAGCAAACAGGAUUAGAUA
rnacentral:rRNA from 1 species